UGAGCACAGAACCUGACAUGGGGCUUGAUCUCAUGACCCUGAGAUCAUGACCUGAGCCAAAAUCAAGAGUCAGACACUUAACCAACUGAGCCACCCAGGCACCCCAGUGUUUUUUCCUAAUUUUUAUAUCUGAGGAACAGAACGCGGGCUAGCCAUAAACAGGCCUUGGCUUGGAGUUGUGUUGUGCAUCAACAGUCGUGCCUCUGUUUUCCUGUCAGUGAAAUGGGCGCUGAUACCCACCACAGCCUGCCUUAUAAAGUUGCAAACUGCACAGGAGAAAUGACAUGUACAUUUAAGACAUUUUGAUUUUUCAUGGGUUGACCUCUCAGCUUUUGGUACAAAUGGUUUUUGAUUCUGACUAAAAGCAUUUUCUUGAAUAUUUAUACUGAUUAUGUAAGGAAAUUGCCAUAGCACUGAUUUGAGAAAGAGAUAUGGUAAACUUGGCUUGGGUUGCUGCAGAGAGCAAACUGUGCACUGUGUGGGCAGUCUCCCUCCCCCAUUUUAUUUAUUUAUUUUUAUUUAUUUAUAAAUAAAUAAAUAUAGUGUGUAUAUAUAGAUAAUAUUUAUUUGUACUGCUGAUAGUUAUCACACAGAAUAUAAAAAUGAAAUUUUAUAUUUGGUCAUCUUUUUUCUCAUUUAAACAGGGAAAAGGUAAAAUAUUGGGAAGACUUCUAAGGAAAAGGUGACAUAAGUCAAAUGGUUCUGCUUCUCCAAUUGAAAUUCCUAGUUGACAUUAACAGAUAGAGUUUGUUCACUAUUUUGUGGCAUCAGUAUAUUGCUUGCUCAACUUCUUUGUUUGAAACAUAUGUAAGUCUUUUAUAUGGACUGGAAUAGGUACCUUACAAAUGGUGUCAAAUGAAACUUAUUUUUAGGAAUUUUUUUUUCUUUUUUGCAUUUUGGACUUAAUUCCCAGUAAUUUAUAUAGGCCAUACAUUUGAGAAUUGUGUUAAAAGUAAACCUUGUUUUCUAGCCUUUUAAUUGAAAGAUAGGUGGUGCUGUAAGUUAAUGGAUUGUAGUUAGAGUGUGGGAGAAAAAUUAACAUGGCAUUUAAAUCUUCGUGCUCAAGGGAAAUAUGUCCUCAUUAUACACUGCCUCACGAUGGACUUUGUCUCAGGUGACGUGAAGAGUCAGUAAAAGAACCAAGUAUGUUGCAGCCUCUGCUUUAUUGAAGAUGUAUGUGCAGAUGCCUUCUGAUAACGGAGUAAGUCACCAGCCAGGACACGUACUUCUUCAGGUAUCUUCAGGCUCAUUGUUUCACAUCUCAAAGGGGACCAUCUGUUAAAUUUAUUUUUAGAGAAUCAUGAUCAUCUUUGGGCUCUCCAGCUAGCUGAGCAAAACGAUAGGUGCAAGUGAAUAUCAAGCUUUAUUUCUACCAUUCAGUAUCUUUGAUGCUGAGUAUCAAAUUAGUGCGUUCUGAAGCCAACUUCAUUUCCCCACUAGCACCAUAAGCCCCCUCCGUCCCUCCCCCCCAGUUAACUUGAUUCCAUUACUUAAUACUAUGCAGUCUGUGGGCAUUUUCGUUUUGGCAGCGAAUCAUCUAUUAGUGGCAAAGUAAUAAGAGUAUUUUAUCUCAACCUGUGAAUUAAAUGCAAAUCAAAACUAAGUUUCCCAGUAUUCUCUUACACUUUUAAUGCUUUGAUAUAACUUCAGAAGAAUGAAAAUAUGUUAAGUUUUAUGGAUAUAUUUGUUCCUGAAAGCAGACUCAAACUCUCCUUUUAAAAAUUUCAAUAUUGGCCAUUUUUCAGAAGCCAUUAUUCCUUUAUGCAGAAAAUAUAUGAGCCUAUGAAUUGGGCAAAUUGGAAACUCAGUAUUCUUUAGGGGAUAGGGCUUGGUAUGUGUGUGUCCUCAUUUCCUGAAGGAAUCCUCAUGACUUUGAGAAAUAUUGGGAAGAAUAGCUUCGUAAAAUGUUUUAAAAAUGGAAAAACUGAUAAAAGAAACAUAUCAGUAAAACCCAGAGUAUUCUUUUACUUGGGAAAUCCUCUAUAGGACUUUUAUUUUCCAGGUGGAUAUUUUAAUAUAAUUUUUCUAGUUAUUUACUUAAUACUCUUUAAGUAGGUGCAGACCUUUUUUCCAUUCUUCCAACUACACAUAUGCUGACCAUGAAAAUAUAAUAAUAUGAUUCAAAUAGGUAACUUAAUGUGUUCCAUACAUUCUCCCAAAUGCUUUGUUAAGUAUUAUUAACUCAUUAAAUCUUCACAACCGCCUGAGAUAGGAAUUGGUCCUAUCAGUACUUCACAGAAGACACAUUAGGUAACAUGUCUGAGAGCAGACAGCUAGCAAGAAGUGAUGAUAGGAGUCAAGGCGGGCAGUCUGGCCCCAGAGCCUUGCAAAAGAGUCCUUUUUUAAAAAAACAUCCAUCUAUUAGGAAAUUCUGGAGCUUAGCACAUGACAAAAACACGAGUUGCGGAAAUGCCUCUGUGUUGAUAAUAGUGAAGACAGCUUAUUGAACUCAGUAGCAUCUCCUACAGGAAUAUCAUACAAAUGAGUCUAGCUAAAGCCACAGUACUCUGAUGUUUAGUGCCCUCUAGAUUUGUAUAUUAAUGAGUGAUGUGUUCCUUAAUCUUCUGAUUCAUGAAGGGGUGGUAGCUGAUGUGGAUUAGUAAUUGGUCAAACAGGAAGACACCUCCACCUUCUUAUUUACAGGGCAAGUUUUUGAGUGAUGACCAGAGUUCUUCAGUUUUUCUCUGAGAUAACAAGUUACGGAAAAAGAACUAUUUAAUCUUUUUUUUUUUUUUAAUAAAUAAAUAAAUGUCUUUGCACUUGAAAGUACGUGUUCUUUCAAUGCAGAUACCAGAUAAGAUGCCAGAUACCAGGUAAAGAACUGCAGUUGGAAAUGACUGUACCUACUGAGGCGAAUUUUAUGAUACCAUUUACCCAAGAGCUCCAGAGUCUUUCUUGGCACCAUGAAAAUGCCAUCUGAUCACUGUCUGGAGGUGCAGGAGAGAACUGGAUUCUAGAGGUCCUGAUUUCCUUCAGCUCUGCUUCCUUCUCAUGUUCUGGAAGAGUGACAUCAGAAAAGGGAUCAGAGGCAGCAACAGACCCUAUUUGGGAGGCAGACGAAGGCAGAAGAGAGAUGGAUUCGCCUCCGGUUACUUGAAUCCCUGUGACUGCCCAGCACUGAGCUUAUGUCAUAUUCAUGGAUCAGUCCUGAAACAGGCUUCCGUACUACUGGGAAGCUCCAGAGCUGGAUGCUAAUUCCCAAAUAUGACUGAACAUGUUGCAGAAGGAACAUGAGAUCAUCUGCAAUGCACCAUCUGGAGGCCCUGUGGAAUGCAAAUUCUUCUUUGAGACCUGGUGACCAGCUAUCCGUCCUAUCAGGAGGUACCUUGAGCAGCAUUUUGGAAGAACACUUUCCUGGGACAUUCUAUUUCAGUAGGUUUCAAGGGAGGCCAAGGAAACUGUAGUUAUCUGACUCAUUUAUCUUCAUUAAGGAACCUUUUCUUAAAUGCCACCUUACACGAAAUCCGAACAUGUACAACAGAAAACAGGUUCAAUGGGACUAUGGAUUGCCAUUCGGGUAAAACCAUCUGCAAAAGACCAGCCAUCCUAUACUACACAGAAUACGGAGACUCAUUCUGUGAAAGGAGACUAGCUUGUUCAAAAUCGCACAGAUGGCUGAUCCAUGCCCUGUGGAAGCAGGCCCGGCCGUGAACAUGAAGUAUUACAGGGAACGCCGUGACAGAACUCCUUGUGCAGAAACCAGAGCACCAUCUGUCGAAGCAGAGUCCGGCCAAGCCACCUGCUGGGUGUGAGGCCUCCGCACUGUCCCCUGUUCUUUCCAGUAAAAAGCAGUUCUUAAUUGAACAAAGUCUAAUGAUGCAUUUCAUAGGGUGUUUCAACCCAAUUUUUCUUCACUCUUUCCCCUCUUCUCAGGUGUCUGGUAGUUAUUUCUGGGAUUGUUAACAGGCAUGCCAGAAAAUUAAAAGGAGGACAACCUUUGUUUUAGGUACUUCUUGCUAAGUCAUAGAAAAACAUGUGAUGCGGGACUUUAAGAGCUGGGGUGAGACCAAUGUAAGAAAAUCAGACAAGUCUAGAUAUUGCAUUUAACAAUAUACUAAGCACUCUUGUAUUUUCUCAAAACAGUUUACAGUGUUAUUGUUUUUACCUGUUUCCGUUAGGCAUAAAGCAAUUGUGUAUGUGGCAAUAGCAGUAAUAACUCAUAUUUUAAGGCAGAGAAAAGAAUUUACAAGCCCACAUUCUUUUUCUUCUAAAAACAUCUGACCUUUCUCUCUUAGGAGCUCCUGGGGCCCAGCUGGGUGAGAUCAUUCCUCUUUCCUAAUUCAUUUAGCGAAUCACUUAUGCCUGCAUUUUUAGAGUAUCUGCUAGAACAGUGAUCAAAGCAGUAACAAGAACUAGUGUUAACGGAGGGCUUACUCUAUGUCAGGUGCUGGUCUGAGUCUUUGGGUGGUUGGACUGAUAGGUUUAAUCUUAGCAGAGGGCAGAUCCCAUGGGACAUUCUGGGGAGGUGGCAGCCACAGAAAGAGUGGGAGGAGACCAUCCUGGCAUGGGUGACGGGCCCCAAGUAUGGAAGAACAUGGCCUCUUCUGCUGUGGCUGCAGGUUAAUUAGAGAGCAGGAACAUGGUGUCAAAUCCAGUGGAAAGCAUAUAGAGUGAGAGAGGGACAAGAGCAAAUCCUUAUCGCAAGAAGACCAUGUACAUUUUCACCAUGGGGGUAGAUCGCAGGUGAAGUGGGGUGUGUUCAGAAGGCACUGUUGAGGAAAUGGAUGGUGGUAGCCUGGACUCCACGGGCUGCUGGUGGAUAUGGACACAAGUGGAUGGACUCAGGAUGCACUUUGGAGAUAGAAUUGACAGAAGGUAGGACAAGGGAGUCACAAAGGCCAAGUGCUGGGUUUCCUGAGUGUGUAGGCUAAUGGCGGUGCCGUAUUCUAUGAUGUGAAAACCUGGGGGAGUAACUGAUUUAUGGGCAGGGAAAUGGAAGGUUUUAUUCUUACCUUCAUUUGCCAAAAUUGACACAGUGGCCAAAAAUAACACAAAAGUAGCUUUAAUAUUUUAGUCAUUUUUGUAUAGCAAGAGGAGACCAGACAGAACUAGGACUGGGUGCAGACAGACCUAGCUAGGACUGCCCUUUGCAACUUGUGGGGCUUCCAGCAAACUCCUCAGCCACUCACCACUGAUGCUUCAAUUUUCUCAUCUCUAAAAAGGGAACAAAUAUCCUCUGUCCCACACAGCUGUUGAUACAAUGUAGGUACCGCUCCUAGCCCAGUUUCUGGCAUAUAUAGUAAUGCCACAUAUAUGUUAGUUGUAGUUCUUUGAAAUAACCUCCACAAGAACAUGCUGUAAUAUGCAAUAUAUUCUUCCUUGUGGGGAUCCUGUACAUGCCUUAGCUUGGGUGACAGGUUAUGAUCUGGAUAAAAAGCACCUGGAAGGCAGUGGUGCUCCCACAUGUCUCCUUUACUCACUGUCUGAAGCCCCACAUCUAAAUAUUUCAUUCCUUCGGCAGAAGGCUUUUUUCCUUACUGAUAUAUCCAACCUAAUUUAUUAUUAUUAUUUAUUAUUAUUUUUUAAUCUUUAUUUUAAGUGGGCUCUAUGCCCAAUGUGGUACUUGAACUCAUGACCCUGAGAUAAGAGUCACAUGCUAUAGGGACUGAGCCUGCCAGGCACUCCAUCCUUCAUGGAAAUACCAAUGGCCUUGAAAAAGAGAAUUAUUCAAAGCAUAUUUGUCAAUAUGUCAUAAUAUGGUGAUUAAGAACAUAGAUUCUGGAACCAGGCUGCCUGGGUAAAAAUCUCACGUUUUUUUUUUUUUUAAUUUUUUAUUUUU